CCUUCGAUAGCUCAGUUGGUAGAGCGGUGGACUGUAGUUGGAGGAGAUAAUUGAGGAGCACUCAAAAACAAUAGAAAUCCAUAGGUCACUGGUUCAAAUCCGGUUCGAAGGA
rnacentral:tRNA from 1 species